CUAAAUCCACGUCAUCAAAUUUAGAAUUCAGACAAGCUGAAAAUUUAAGAAUGUACUAGACUCAAGUUUGGCCUCAAAUCCCUAUUGUCGCAUAAAAAAAUCUCUCAAGUAUAACUAUUUUUUCUAACGCUGGAGNUACAACCUAAUUCUAUAUUAAAUUAUUUGAAAAUUAAAUAUAAUUUGUUUUUAAUAACUUAUUAACUAGGUAUUUAAUACUAAUUGUUUAAUUCAAUGAGAAAUAUAAAUUUAUUAUAAUUAAUAAAUCUUUUAAUUUAAUAAUAACAAAAUUCAUAAAAUAACCCCACUAUAAUUUAAAGUAUUUUUAAAAAUUAUCUUAAAAUAAAAAAUCAGUUUUUCGAUUUUAAAUUAAUUUUCUGCUCUUCUGGGAUAUUUUAAGAUUGACACGUUUCCAUCGUAUUAGUAAUCAGAAAAUUAACUUCCGACCUUACUUACCAACUUACUUUAUAAUUGACGCGGACAAAUAGUUUUUGUACAGGAAAACUUAAAAUAAAUUCCAGAUUGGACGGGUGACUUUAAAAAUUUACCGGCGUCA
rnacentral:rRNA from 1 species